GAAAUUUUGUGGAACACUAAGAAGAAGGAAUACCUAUCCGAAUUUUCUGCAUUUUACAUUUCUGAACUGGCAACUUUCAGUAUAUUUUAUGUUUGAUGGGGAUCUCCCUCAAACUUUCGGAGGAAUACCCUUUAGCUAGAUUCGUACAACGCGACAUUUUAGGGAAAUCCUUUAAAUAUCAUAUAUAAGCAAAAGAUUGUACUAAUUUUCCAUUACUUAUUUAAAAGACUCCUAGUAAAAUGUUCUGCCCUAAAGACAAAUUUUCAUCAUAUUCGUAUAUCAUAAUGUAGUGGUUAAUAAGUGAUUCAGAAUUAAAAUGUUUAAUCUAUUUAUGUGAAAUAUAUGCUAAUACUACAAGAUGAUUAUAUUCUUAAAUUUAAAAGUGACGUGAUUUUUGUUCGGCAGAUUCAUCAUACAAUAUAAAUAUAGAAGCGCACGUGUGAAUUUACUAAAAUGGCUGACGGUAGAUCACGCUUGUCGGGACACCAAUAUAAAAACGAAGACUUGAAAAAGACGCAGAGCGACAAAACCAAGCAGGUGAAGGGGGGAAAGUGCUAUUGCAGAUCCAAGUGCUCAACAUCUUAUUUAGAUGUCGACACAGCCACGUGUCCCAAUAGAUUAACAGACGCAGAAAGAAUAUAUUUGGUAAAUAGAGGUUCUCCAGACCCACUGUAUGAAUUUAAAUUUCGACAAGAUAUCAAUGUUCGGAGGUUUACAGAUUACCAUGAUAAUUAGGAUUUAUACCAAUCGAGAAAUCUACAGGUCUGGCACUAACAAAAAUUAUCGUAAAACAACAAUCAGCACUUGGAUUGGAAAAAUAAGAGGACAAGAGUACGAUAAUGGAUCUAAUACGUUUCAUAAAACGUAUUGAAAGCGGCGUCCAAGCCAGGAUUCAAAACAUCAAUCCAAAUCAUUCUUUAAACUUAGUGGUAAACGACAUGGCAAAGUCCUCACUGGAAGCUACAAUAUUUUUAAUAUUGUGCAAAAAAUAUAUGUUUUUUUUUCACUUCAACAUUAAGGUGGUCAAUUCUUUUGAAGAAUAUAAAAGGUAUUACUCUAAAGCCACUUAGUGACACGAUUGUUUAGUGUUUACCAAAGCACAGAUAUACCUUCUGCUCAACCCAAAACGAGACUUUAUCCAUAACUCAACAAGGACAUGACAUAUGGCCAUAUUUUUUUUGCUUAGGUUGGCAGGACUGUUAUAUGUUUACAUGUCAAAUUUGAGCGCGAUCUGUCACAUAGUUUUUUUUUAAGGCACUAUAAACAAGUCAACCUCGAGUGUGUUUUUCGAAUUUUACUAUGGAAGUUAACGUUGAGUAAAAAGUGUUUGUUUGAAAUUUUGUUAUUCCAAAGGAAUAAGUGCGACGGACGCAAUGAAAAUGUUGCAGAAGGCAUAUGGGGAGUCUUGCCUAUCACGUACACGUAUUUUUGAUUGGUAUGAGUCGUUCAAGGACGGCCGAACAUCGCUGGAGACCUUGCCCCAUGAUCGUCGUCCAGCAACGUCAAUAAACGAAGAAAACGUCGAAAAAGUAAAGAAAAUUGUGUUGGAAAAUCGUCGUGUGACUGAAAGAGAGAUAGCUAGUGAGCUCAACAUAUCAAAUGGAUCCGUUCAUAGCAUUAUUCACGAUGUUUUGGGCAUGAGACGUGUGUCUGCUCGACUUGUUCCAAAAUCCAGCUCAUACGUCUCGUCUUGUACGCGAUUAUUUGACCAAAAACAACGUAAAUAUUGUUCCGCAAGCACCGUAUUCACCCGACAUGGCACCGUGUGACUUUUUUCUUUUCCCUAAACUCAAAUUGCCGCUUCGUGGAAAGCAUUUUCAGUCGAUUGAAGUCAUAAAAGAGAAUUCGAAGAAAGAACUGAAAGCCAUACCUAAAGCGGCCUACCAGAAGUGUUAGGAAGAUUGGAAAAAAAGGUGGCAUAUGUGUAUCGCCUCUAAUGGUGACUAUUUUGAAGGGGAUAAAAUACAUAUUGAAGAAUAAUUAACCGUUUUUGUUGUUUGAGCCAGUCUCGUUUAUAUUUGAGCAGGAGGUAUAUACCUCCACACGAGACUUCGGGUUUGUUGAAUCAAAUUAAACAGUUUCAAUUUUUAUGUUCUAUUAUAAUUCAGUACGAAAAUUUAAAUCCCAUAAACCCUGUCAGUAAAUUAAUGCUAACUAAAGAUUUUCAUUUAGUUUCCGUCAAAGAUUUCCACAAAAGAUUUCUUUGAAAACUCACGUUCAGAUGAGUAUUUUACUAAAGUUCUUGAAGACGCCAAAGCCUUAGCUUCUGAAAUUGAUUGCGAGGUGUUAGACUUUGAAAAUGUGGCUAGACGUGCACUAUCCAAGAAAAAGCAUUUUACUUAUGAGUGUGUUGACGAACCAAUCAUUGAGCUUCGUAAAAAAUAUAAAAUUGAAGUAUUUUUUCAAAUUAUGGAUACAGCCAUAAACUCUUUAGAAUUAAGACUUUUCCAGAUUUCUGAGCACAGUAAACAUUUUGCUUUUUUGUAUAAUAUUAUAUAUGCCUCAAGAGAACUCCCAAAAGAUGGAUUGUUAGAACAUUGUAAGAAUCUCGACGAUAUUUUAACUCAUGAGAACUCAAGCGAUAUAAAUGCAUUAAAACUUUGUGAGGAGUUGUCAGUCUUUUGUAUGUUUUCAAAUAGUAAUUUAUCUCCUCAAGAUGUUUUAAAAUUUGUAACAGAUUUAAGAUUUGGUCCAAAUAUCAGUAUUGCGCUCUUUUUAACUUUACCAGUAACAGUUGCAAGUGGUGAUUAUUUAAAGCAAAUACUUAAGUAUUUAAUAUAAAAUAAAUAUGUAGAAACAUUAAAGUGAAAAGUUAGUGUAUAACAAGUGCAUAAUAUAAAAGAAAAGAUAACCAUAAAUCGAGAAAUUGUAAAAUAAAAUUUGUGAAAUUUUCAACUUAAAAUGCAAAUAUCUCGAAAACUAUAAGUUUCCGGCGGCAAUAAUAAUAUAUAUUCGUGAUCUGGAAAAUCUCCUCUAUCCAACCAUACCCCUCUUUACCCUGAAAUCGUGGGAUGCUUAACUAAUGCUUAACUAAAAAUUUAACCUAAAUUUUAAAACAAAUUUUUUGUUAUGGCUUUUUUAUACGUACCGUAUGAACUUUAACUUAACAUGAACCGAUUGACCAUAAUAAACAAUUAAACAGUGUGGUCCUAAUCUUUUUAACUUCUGAAACAAUUUUAAUGAAAAAUGUUCAUUAUUCCUUUAGUUAAAGGGCAACAUUAGCCCAAAACAGGGAAAUACGCAGCAGUGAGUCGCAAUAGGUUGAUGAUGAUGAUAAACUUGAAAGGUACAUAACUAUGUCGAUAAAAAAAUAUAUCAAUUUCUGUGAAAUUGCCUAUAAAGACAUAUUGUAUACCUACUAACAUAAAAACACUCAUCAACUUUCGUAUAGGUACUUCUUCAGAAGUCCCAAUAGACUUCUUCUUCUUGAAUAUUGUAGGUAUAAUCCCAACAAUAUCACGUAUUUUAUGUAGUUACUUAUAUACUUAGCAUCCUACAACAAAACUAGCUUAUGACUUAUAUAGCUUUGUGUAUGUAAAGGGCGGCGAAAAUGAUCUUUGCCCGGGGCGGCUAAAUACCGAGAUCGGGCCCUGGAUACAUGGUUCACAAAUGCUAACAAAUUUGUUAGCGCAGAUUUCUAUUUCAGCACGGGUGAACACGAAAUUAAUGAAUAAAUCUAACAAGUUGUUAGAUCUGGAAUUCUCUAUAAAUUUUAAUAGAUGGCCUAAACUCAUUCUUAUGGAAAGGGGAUUUUAAACGACUGUUCCCAUAUUGAAGUAGAUAUACCUUAUUUAAAAAAACAUAUAUCCAAAAAAAUAUACAAAAUAAUAAGGAAAUUAAAUGAUGAUUUUAAUAUAAAUAAAUGAGUUUGGAUAAAAGUUUAAAAUUAUAUUAAAUUAAUUAGCUAAUUCAAUGACUUAUGCAACAAUAAUUAAUGACUCACAUGUACUGAAGAAGCGCAACCCAGCUGACAACUGAGGGAGAACCAGAUAUUCAGCCCGACCCUGCGAAGAAACCCGAACUUAAAAGUGAAGGUUUUUCAAAUAAACUGCAUAAAAGCAAGGUCGUCUCUGCCGUACUCCUCCUCAAUUCAGACAGAACCAACAUAUAUUGGCUCUACCUCGAAGAACGUUCUUCAUGUAACACUGCAUACUAGAAAUUCUUAGAAUACUAACUGGGAUCUGUACAGAAAGAUAGUAAUGGGGAAUUUAAGUAGACUCGAGAACUGUGACUCUUUCUAUGAACUAAAGGAGAGUCAUAUUCACGAAUGUUCUCAAAAAAGCGUAUAACAUCGCGUGCCCUCCGAUAGAUUCAAAACGUGGAACAAAGAGCUCGGAUCACGGAGGCGCAGUGUUAAGGAACUAUUCUAGCUGGCCAAGUUGGCCGGCAAAGAGUCCUUCUGGAUGGAAUACAAAGAUAUACUUAAAGAAUAUUAAAAAGAAAUUCAUAAAACUAAGAGAGAGUCGUGGACGAACUUCUGCGGCAGGUUAGAAAAGACAACCGAGGUAGCUAGGCUUAGGAAAUUACUAUCCGAACAUCCGAAUACCCUAGGCUACUAUGCAAAAAAUGUGGAGAGGGGACUAGUGUGGAGUACAUUCCUACAAAUAUCAUAACAAAGGAAAGAAUACUUUGGGCGCUGUUGAUAAAUUAUGCAUCCAUACCAAUGGACGGUAUUGCAGAAUGAAUGAUCACAAUAUACGAAGGAUGUUUAAGGCUUAACUAUGUACCUACCAUUUGGAUAGAAGUGAGGGUCGUAUUCAUACCGAAGGCCGGCAAAGGAGUCCCAGUUUAUUCGAAAUUAUAUAGACCAAUAAGUCUAACCUUAUUCCUUCUGAAGACAUUUGAACAAAUGCUACGCGUCUAUAUUAGAGACAACCUUUUAUGGGCUAACAUGUCGAAAGCACAGCACCAAGGGCAGAUCCUCGGCGACUGCAUUUCACUUGCUAACCUUAAAUACAGAGAGGGCACUAGAGCUAAAGAAUAAGAUCUCACAUCGCAUUAAAUCAGAUAAUGUCAAUAUAAGCCGGGAGUCAAUAGAUGUACCGCCUGCCGGAAAGCGACUGCAUACAUAUACUGGCUUCCAGGCCACAAAGGAAUUCCGGGAAACGCAAUAGCUGAUGAGAUUGCCCCAAAUGCUAAUAGUCUGGCUACCGUACCAGAACAGAAAAUACGGAAGUUUCUAAAAACGAUAUACAAUGAAAUUUCCGAAAAGUCUGACAGACGGAUCAGUCUCAACCUGACAGGUCACAACCUACUGGCAUCACAUGCGAGCCGUAUGGGCAUUAUUAACGAUGACACAUGUAGAAAGUGCAGAGAAGAAGGCUUGAGAGAGACGCAGAAACACCUCAGAUGCUUCUGUCCGGCAUUAUCUAGAACUCGACUUAGAUAUCUAAGAGCUUCGCAGUUCAAGAGACUAGAUGAAAUAUCAAAAUUAGAUAUCAAGUCGCCAUUAAGGUUCGCAAAAAGCGUUGACGUCCUGUAUGACAAAUACUUCAGCUCAAAUUAAACUGUAACUCCAUCUGACAUUGCUAAGGACCUAUGUAUGGUGUGACAGCCUGCCAGUAUAACCUAACCUAACCUUGUCGUAUCUGUCACAGCUAAACAACAAUGGAAGCAGAUUUCCUUUUUUUUUGCCCUUUGGCUUUAUAAAUACUACUAUAAUGCCUACUGCAGUUAAAAAAUUAAAUGAAUAUGACAUAAUUCAAAUUUCAUGAGGAAUAUUUAAAAUACAGGAUUUGUGGAUGCUUACAACAAUUUUUUCAACAAAAACAUAAAAUUAGCUAAUACUAUGUUCGCACCGACACAAAAUUCGUGUUUUCAUAGACAAAAGAGGUUUUCACCCGAAAACUUGUGUUUUCAUCAAUACAAAAUCUGUCAAACGAAAACGCAGUUUUCGCGGAAAACCCCUUGAAAACUUACAUUCCACUCAUUAUAAUCGGUGCCUGCUCUAUUUUAAUCGAUAUUAUUAGAAGACAUAUUAUAAAAGCCUGUUGCGUCCUUCACAAUUUUUAAAUGAAAACAACGAUACUUUAAACGCUAAAUGGUUACACGGUUUGGAAGAGUUGGAGACUAGACGCCAAAAUCCGAGUCAUGUUUUAUAUGCGUCUGACGACCCAAUUAACGGAGAAACUUUGUCCAUUUUUUGUCGAGUAAAAAUUUUAAGUAUAAUUUAUCAGGCUGAACGCAUUUAAGGCGGCGCUAACCAUAUUCCAAAAAUAUUUUAUUUUUAUUUUAUAUUUUUUUAAAAAAUUAAGAGGUAUUUUAUUUAUUUAUUUUGUAUCCUUUACAAAUUCUUUAAUUUUAAAAACAUUUUCGUUACGUACAUUGAAAUCUUCAUUUGUUUUUUUUUUUAUUUCUAUUUCAAUAUUUUCCAUUUUUUUUUAAUAUCAAACUUUGAUAAUUAUUUUUUUUCUUAUUAGCAGAAUCUAUCGGUUCGGGUGGCGACUCGGUUGGUGACAUUAUCAUCGCUGAGGGGGAAAGAGUGCAAACAGGUGAUGGCAGUGGAGAUGCAGCAACAAAUGUGGAGAUGCAGCAACAAAUGUUGCAGCCGUUUCCACCGAAAUUUCCAUCGGUUCGGAGUUCGUAGAACCUUUUUAAAAAUGUAUAUAUAUAUAUGUAAAUAUAAAUAAUAUAUUCAAUAAAAACACAUGUCUCUUA